UACAGAGGGUGCGAGCGUUAAUCGGAAUUACUGGGCGUAAAGCGUGCGUAGACGGUUAUUUAAGUCGGGUGUGAAAGCCCCGGGCUCAACCUGGGAAUUGCAUUCGAGACUGAAUAGCUAGGGUACGGUAGAGGGAAGUGGAAUUUCCGGUGUAGCGGUGAAAUGCGUAGAUAUCUGGAGGAACACCGGUGGCGAAGGCGGCAUCCUGGACCGGCAUUGACGCUGAGGCGCGAAAGCCAGGGGAGCAAAGCGGG
rnacentral:rRNA from 1 species